UACGUAGGUGGCAAGCGUUGUCCGGAUUUAUUGGGUUUAAAGGGUGCGCAGGCGGCACGUUAAGUCAGUGGUGAAAUCCUCCCGCUCAACGGGAGAACUGCCAUUGAUACUGGCGUGCUUGAGUACGGACGAGGUAGGCGGAAUUUAUGGUGUAGCGGUGAAAUGCAUAGAUACCAUAAAGAACACCGAUAGCGAAGGCAGCUUACUAGACCGUAACUGACGCUCAUGCACGAAAGCGUGGGGAGCAAACAGG
rnacentral:rRNA from 1 species